rnacentral:rRNA from 1 species
UACUGAUGGCGACCGGCGUACGGGUGAGUAACACGUAUCCAACCUGCCGAUAACUCGGGGAUAGCCUUUCGAAAGAAAGAUUAAUACCCGAUGGUAUAAUCAGACCGCAUGGUUUGAUUAUUAAAGAAUUUCGGUUAUCGAUGGGGAUGCGUUCCAUUAGGCAGUUGGUGAGGUAACGGCUCACCAAACCUUCGAUGGAUAGGGGUUCUGAGAGGAAGGUCCCCCACAUUGGAACUGAGACACGGUCCAA